AUUGAACGCUGGCGGCAGGCCUAACACAUGCAAGUCGAGCGGGGUUUUCGGACCUAGCGGCGGACGGGUGAGUAAUGCGUAGGAAGCUACCCGAUAGAGGGGGAUACCAGUUGGAAACGACUGUUAAUACCGCAUAAUGUCUACGGACCAAAGUGUGGGACCUUCGGGCCACAUGCUAUCGGAUGCGCCUACGUGGGAUUAGCUAGUUGGUGAGGUAAUGGCUCACCAAGGCGACGAUCUCUAGCUGGUUUGAGAGGAUGAUCAGCCACACUGGAACUGAGACACGGUCCAGACUCCUACGGGAGGCGGCAGUGGGGAAUAUUGGACAAUGGGCGCAAGCCUGAUCCAGCCAUGCCGCGUGUGUGAAGAAGGCCUUCGGGUUGUAAAGCACUUUCAGUAGGGAGGAAGGGUUAAGUGUUAAUAGUACUUAACUUUGACGUUACCUACAGAAGAAGCACCGGCUAACUCUGUGCCAGCCGCCGCGGUAACAC
rnacentral:rRNA from 1 species